rnacentral:lncRNA from 1 species
CCACACUGCUUCAUUCCACCAGUCAAAAGAUUCACAAAUAAAGCACAAAGCUACGUAGUAAAGAAACAACAGGGGCAGCCUGACUUUGAAUGAGAUCAAAAGUUUAUUUGUGACUCUCUGUUUAGGCAGACUCUGAGUAUGCUUGGGCAAUGUUUCUGCUGGGCAGAACAAGGCAGCAGAAAGCCACUCUGCAGUGCCUGCUGCAUAGCUAUCGGUCUGCCUGCCUGCCUCCCACUUCUACCAGGCUGCUGGGGAGAAGGGUUUUAAAAACAGCAGAGCUGGAGCGCUGCAGAGCUGAGAUGGCCAAGGGGCAUGUGGCUUGCAGAAAUAACACACCCAUUAUAAAAAACAGGAACAUACUGAGCACCUAA